rnacentral:lncRNA from 1 species
AGUUUGUAAAGUAUGGUAAGCUGGCCUGUUAUUUGUUUAGUAUCUUCUGGAUUUUUUUUUUUUAAUUAUAGAGCUAGCUUACCGUGUGUAUCAUGUAAAAAAAAUUCAUAAGAUUAACAAUUUCCAUGAGAAUAUCAUAAACUCAGGGCACACAUUCUGGCCAUUCCUGACUAAAAAACUUCAAGCAGAAUAAGCAGCUAUAAAAUAGAAAAGAAAAAUUAAGGAUAAACGGCAUUGUGAAAAAAAACCGAGCCACACAGAUGAGAAUUAAAAAUUAACAGCCAGCAAACUCAAAAGAACCUUUGUCCUCCUUGAGAUAUGGUGAUGAUCAAAAAGUUAGCAAGGAAUAUUAAUCAAGGAAUUAAAGGGCAUUAGGAAUGCUAUAGUAUUGGAAGAAAUUACAUCUUAACAUUUCAAAGCCCCAUUUCACUUAAGAGUAAAAUCUAAUCUGAUGUUUUUUACUCUGAAUUUUAUUCAGUAAUUUUUAUUCAUAAUUCAUGAUAAUUGGUAAUGUAGUAUAAUUGUUAGUAAAUGCAGUACAAAUUGUUCUACUGUUUUAAAAAGUUUUCCGCAGAACAGUGCAUUUAUGGCAAUGCUAUGUUUAAUGAGUUAGGGACAUCAAAUAUAUAGUAGUUCCUUAUUUUCAGUUGUGAAAAUGAAAUGGCUAAAGCAGAAGAGACGUCUAUUUUAGUCUUUUAAAAAUGUGUGUGGGUGGUCUUUUUUCCUCAGAAGCCCAAAGCACAUGUAUAUUUUGUUAUUUCUCCUUGCUAUAUUCCUGAGACUAUACUAAAAACUUUAAGAAAAGGAACAAGAAAAAGGUAAAUUCAUGUGUUCCCCACUGCUGUGUCUAGAACCAAGAUCACAUUAUAUCAUUGUUAAAAUUGUGUUAUCUAGAAAGUGCAAUAUAGGGAAAACACUCUAAGAAUCUUUUAAAAGCCUAGUGUUUCCCUUAUUUGUCAGAAUAUGUGGUAGUGGCAUCCAUAAGUAUCUUUUAACUUGCAUUUAGCAGGACAAAUAGUGUGAUACUUAUACUGAUGACAAUCAUCCCCAUUUAAUGACCAGCAGUCACUGAGCGCUGUGAAAAUUCACUCAGUGAUACCCCGUGUUGGUCUUGAAGGAAACCGUACAUAUGAAUUUUUGGAUAGCUAAUGUAUAUCUCUCAAGUGCCAACAUUUAAAACUUGUAAUUAUUUUUGAUGUGAGUAUUUCAGGUAUGUUAGUAUACCUUCCUGCCUUCUUCUUAAACAUCAUGCUCAGUAUAAUUCACAUUUUCAUGAUGAAAAGUUAAAGUUAUAUUCAUAAUGUAUUAUUAUAAGUAUCCAGCUCUGAUGUAUGUAAAACACUUCAUAAAAUGUAAAGGGCUAUAACAAAUAUGUUAUAAAGUGAUUCUCUCAGCCCUGAGGUAUACAGAAUCAUUUGCCUCAGACUGCUGUUGGAUUUUAAAAUUUUUAAAAUAUCUGCUAAGUAAUUUGCUAUGUCUUCUCCCACACUAUCAAUAUGCCUGCUUCUAACAGGCUCCCCACUUUCUUCUAAUGUGCUGUUAUGAGCUUUGGACAUGAGAUAACCGUGCCUGUUCAGAGUGUCUACAGUAAGAGCUGGACAAACUCUGGGGGGACACAGUCUUUGAGACAGCUCUUUUGGUUGCUUUCCACUUUUCUGAAAGGUUCACAGUAACCUUCUAGAUAAUAGAAACUCCCAGUUAAAGCCUAGGCUAGCAAUUUUUUUUAGUUGCAACUAAGUAAGAUAUACUACAAACUAAGGAUGCUGCUAGACUAAGGAAUAAACAGCAAGGUACCAAAGUACAGCAAAGCAACAACAAAGGCUCUGUAUUUGCAGAGGGGUCUAUCAUGCUUUUAAGAAAAAAGAAGAGUACAGGAAAAAAAUUCAGAUAGACAUAAGAGUAUUUUGGAUGCCAUUAAACUUUGUCAAUAACCAUUAAAACAUAGGCUUAAAUUAUCACGUAUUGUUACAAAGACACAGUUUUGUCUCAUUAUAAAAUAAGAUUAUAUGAAAUUUAUAUUCUAGAAAUGAUUCCAAAUCAUGUCCUAAGAAUUUCUCCCAUUCAAAUGAUAAUGGAAAUUACUGUCAAAAGGAAAAUCUCAAAGUUACCAUUACGCUGCUCUCUUGUAAAUGAACUAGGGAUAAAGAUAUGGGUUUUAUCAAAAGCCCUAAGGAAUAUAUCUCACAUUCACCUCCUAUAUGUAUGUGUAUAUAUAAAUGCCACUAUAAAUGAAAAUGUCACCCAGAGAUAAUAAAAUAAUUUUUAAAGUUU